UACGUAGGGGGCAAGCGUUGUCCGGAAUCAUUGGGCGUAAAGAGCGUGUAGGCGGCUCGGUAAGUCCGCUGUGAAAGUCCAGGGCUCAACCCUGGAAUGCCGGUGGAAACUGUCGAGCUCGAGUCCGGAAGAGGCGAGUGGAAUUCCUGGUGUAGCGGUGAAAUGGCGCAGAUAUCAGGAGGAACACCAAUGGCGAAGGCAGCUCGCUGGGACGGUACUGACGCUGAGACGCGAAAGCGUGGGGAGCAAACAGG
rnacentral:rRNA from 1 species